rnacentral:rRNA from 1 species
UAAUACGUAGGGUGCAAGCGUUAAUCGGAAUUACUGGGCGUAAAGCGUGCGCAGGCGGUGUUGUAAGACAGAGGUGAAAUCCCCGGGCUCAACCUGGGAACUGCCUUUGUGACUGCAACGCUAGAGUACGGCAGAGGGGGAGUGGAAUUCCGCGUGUAGCAGUGAAAUGCGUAGAUAUGCGGAGGAACACCGAUGGCGAAGGCAAUCCCCUGGGCCUGUACUGACGCUCAUGCACGAAAGCGUGGGAGCAAACAGGAUUAGAUACCCUGGUAGUCCACGCCCUAAACGAUGUCAACUGGUUGUUGGGUCUUCACUGACUCAGUAACGAAGCUAACGCGUGAAGUUGACCGCCUGGGGAGUACGGCCGCAAGGUUAAAACUCAAAGGAAUUGGCGGGGACCCGCACAAGCGGUGGAUGAUGUGGUUUAAUUCGAUGCAACGCGAAAAACCUUACCCACCUUUGACAUGGCAGGAAUCCUAAAGAGAUUUGGGAGUGCUCGAAAGAGAACCUGCAC